rnacentral:rRNA from 1 species
CCUACGGGAGGCAGCAGUUGGGAAUUUUGCACAAUGGACGAAAGUCUGAUGCAGCAACACCGCGUGGAGGAUGAAGGUUUUCGGAUCGUAAACUCCUUUUAUGAGAGAGUAAUUAUUGAAAGUAUCUCAUGAAUAAGCACCGGCUAACUCCGUGCCAGCAGCCGCGGUAAUACGGAGGGUGCUAACGUUGUCCGGAUUUACUGGGCGUAAAGCGCAUGUAGGUGGUUGAAUAAGUCAACGAUUAAAGACCGUCGCUUAACGACGGAAAUGUUUUUGAAACUGUUUUACUUGAGGAUGGCAGGGGCAAGCGGAACUUUGAGUGUAGGAGUGAAAUCCGUAGAUAUUCAAAGGAACACCAAUGGCGAAGGCAGCUUGCUGGGCUUUUCCUGACACUGAGAUGCGAAAGCGUGGGGAGCAAACGGGGAUUAGAUACCCCGGUAGUCCACGCUGUAAACGAUGCUCACUAGGGCCUUGGGAGGUAUCGACCCCUCUUUGGACCGUAGCUAACGCGAAUAGUAGAGCCGCCGUCGGGAGGUACGAACGACGAACGUUAAAACGUUAACUAAAUAAGAAGUUAGUACGGCGUGUAGACGUUGCCGAACGGACGACCGAACCGAGGGGAGGUUAGG